AGCGGAGGAAAAGAAACCAACAGGGAUUGCCUUAGUAACGGCGAGUGAAGCGGCAAGAGCUCAAAUUUGAAAUCUGGUACCUUCGGUGCCCGAGUUGUAAUUUGAAGAAGGUAUUCUUGAUUCUGGCCUUUAUCUAUGUUCCUUGGAACAGGACGUCACAGAGGGUGAGAAUCCCGUGCGAUGAGGUGUCCAGUUUUAUGUAAGAUUCCUUCGAAGAGUCGAGUUGUUUGGGAAUGCAGCUCUAAGUGGGUGGUAAAUUCCAUCUAAAGCUAAAUAUUGGCGAGAGACCGAUAGCGAACAAGUACAGUGAUGGAAAGAUGAAAAGAACUUUGAAAAGAGAGUGAAAAAGUACGUGAAAUUGCUGAAAGGGAAGGGUUUUAGAUCAGACUUGGUAUUUAACAAUCAUUCUCUCUUUGAGGGUUUGCUCUUGUUUUUUACUGGGCCAGCAUCGGUUUGGGUGGCAGGAUAAUGACAUUGGAACGUGGCACCCCUCGGGGUGUGUUAUAGCCUUUGUUGAUACUGCCUACCUAGACCGAGGACUGCGUUUUUUAACUAGGAUGCUGGCGUAAUGAUCUAAAA
rnacentral:rRNA from 1 species